CAGGUGGCGGUGGAGUGCAUUCCCUCCAGCGUGCACACCUGCCGACAAAUUGUUCUUCAAAUUCGCCAAGUAUUUGAGGGUCACCGUAACGCCGACCCCAGCCGACAAAGGAGCAAGAGGUGGGACACGAUUGCAAGUCAAUCAAUUGAAAGGUCGGGCGAGCACCAUUUAAACUUCAACUUGAGCCGUGCAGGACAGCCGGCGGAGGGGGAUUGCAUGCCAACAAACAGGCUGGAUAAUAGUGAGACAAUAAGUGUGCCCUUUGGUUGAUUAAACCCGUGACUCCCAACCAAGUUGUUCAGCAAACUGGAUCUAUGCCAACGACGUAGAGUGACAAGCAAAACCAUAAAAUGCUCCGCCCUUGGAUUCUUUCAUGUCAAGCCAUUCUUUCAUGUAUGUCUUUGGUUAACAUCGAGGCAAACUUAACAAGAAAAAUGUUUUCAACCUUU